rnacentral:lncRNA from 1 species
CCUAGCCAUUCGGGACCCUAAGGUGUAUGUUGACUGUAGCAUAUUCAUUGUAGGAACCAGAUUGCACCAAGAUGGGAUCUAUCAAUCUCGGUAGAUGAGAGGAGUAGUCCUAUGAUGAUCGAAAGAUCGAGUUCUUAAGUCCAUGGCCAUGGCAGAGUAAAAUAAUGGAAAAAUAUUUUCCAUUGGGGUUUUACAUCGGAU